GCUGAGCUGGAAAGAGGAUAAGCUGCCAUUUAUCCAGCAAAAACAUGAAUGGGUACACUUCAAGAGAAGACAUUACUCUUCUAGAGCUUUUCUCUGGUACAUAUGCACGAUCUUAUCACUUAUGGGUGAACACAUGACAAGCUUAUUCAAUUUUAAACAAGAUAA